rnacentral:rRNA from 1 species
AUUGAACGCUGGCGGCAUGCUUUACACAUGCAAGUCGAACGGUAACAGGUUAAACUGACGAGUGGCGAACGGGUGAGUAAUGCAUCGGAACGUGCCCGGUCGUGGGGGAUAACGCAGCGAAAGCCGCGCUAAUACCGCAUACGAUCUGAGGAUGAAAGCGGGGGACCGUAAGGCCUCGCGCGAUCGGAGCGGCCGAUGUCAGAUUAGGGAGUUGGUGGGGUAAAGGCUCACCAAGCCAACGAUCUGUAGCUGGUCUGAGAGGACGACCAGCCACACUGGGACUGAGGCACGGCCCAGACUCCUACGGGAGGCAGCAGUGGGGAAUUUUGGACAAUGGGCGAAAGCCUGAUCCAGCCAUUCCGCGUGAGUGAAGAAGGCCUUCGGGUUGUAAAGCUCUUUCGCAAGAGAAGAAAACUUAAGCUCUAACAUAGCUUGAGGUUGACGGUACCUUGAUAAGAAGCACCGGCUAACUACGUGCCAGCAGCCGCAGUAA